rnacentral:rRNA from 1 species
UUGUUGGAGAGUUUGAUCCUGGCUCAGGACGAACGCUGGCGGCGUGCUUAACACAUGCAAGUCGAACGAUGAAGCCCUUUCGGGGGUGGAUUAGUGGCGAACGGGUGAGUAACACGUGGGUAAUCUGCCCUGUACUUUGGGAUAAGCCUUGGAAACGAGGUCUAAUACCGAAUAUUACCGGCUUCCGCAUGGGGGUUGGUUGAAAGUUCCGGCGGUACAGGAUGAACCCGCGGCCUAUCAGCUUGUUGGUGGGGUAACAGCCUACCAAGGC